CUCUAGGAUCCCAUAGACAUGAUACAAUUCCACUGCUAAAUUCUCUUCUCAGAACCAAGUGGAAUUAGCCCCAAAUCCUUGACAAAGAAUGCUGGAGCCACGAUGAGGUCCCCUCCAAACAUGUUUAAUUUGGCCAAAUAUUUCAUCAGCACUUGUGACUCACUACUUCACCCAACUAAGGCUUCUCUCUGAAGGAUUCCAAUGAUGUUUAGGGUGUGCUU
rnacentral:lncRNA from 1 species